rnacentral:rRNA from 1 species
GUAGGUGGCAAGCGUUGUCCGGGAAUUAUUGGGGCGUAAAGCGCGCGCAGGCGGUUCUCUAAGUCUGAUGUGAAAGCCCACGGGCUCAACCGUGGAGGGUCAUUGGAAACUGGAGAACUUGAGUACAGAAGAGGAAAGCGGAAUUCCACGUGUAGCGGUGAAAUGCGUAGAGAUGUGGAGGAACACCAGUGGCGAAGGCGGCUUUCUGGUCUGUAACUGACGCUGAGGCGCGAAAGCGUGGGGAGCAAACAGGAUUAGAUACCCUGGUAGUCCACGCCGUAAACGAUGAGUGCUAAGUGUUAGGGGGUUUCCGCCCCUUAGUGCUGCAGCUAACGCAUCAAGCACUCCGCCUGGGGAGUACGGCCGCAAGGCCG